UACGAAGGGGGCUAGCGUUGCUCGGAAUGACUGGGCGUAAAGGGCGCGUAGGCGGAUGGCACAGUCAGAUGUGAAAUUCCCGGGCUUAACCUGGGGGCUGCAUUUGAUACGUGUUGUCUUGAGUUCGGAAGAGGGUCGUGGAAUUCCGAGUGUAGAGGUGAAAUUCGUAGAUAUUCGGAAGAACACCAGUGGCGAAGGCGACUUACUGGACGAUAACUGACGCUGAGACGCGAAAGCGUGGGGAGCAAACAGG
rnacentral:rRNA from 1 species